GAUUGUGCGUAAGUUUUUGAUCACUGAGUAUAUUAUUUUUUAGCGUGCAUUUUUCUGUGCCUCUUUCGAGACCGUGAAAAAAACAACAACCAGAGCCUCGGUCGCGAAAAGUUUGUUCCGUUUUUUCCUUCAAGGAUGCAGAAAAACAGCGAUGGGACAUUGUGCGGCCUACGGCUUGAGGAAACAGUUCAACGAACCGUUCAACAAAAGGAAAAUUGAAGACCCGGCUACCGUCCCGGCUACAGUUUGGGCCACAAGAAAAAUACGCAUCAAAAACGAUUUCAAACCACGUCCGUAGAAACAUCUUCCUGUUACACCGACGGACUUGUACCCUGGCAGCAGCAUCACCAGAACACCAUCUAAGACCGACCGACGAUUGUUUUGUAAUUUUCGAGCUUCUGAAUGCUCAACGGGAACGAGCAGGACGGAUAAUGAAAAUUCUGAUUUAAGCUCAAGUUUUGUGUUUAUAAAUAAUAUAACAUAAUGAAA